GACGAACGCUGGCGGCGUGCUUAACACAUGCAAGUCGAACGGAAAGGCCCCUUUGGGGGUACUCGAGUGGCGAACGGGUGAGUAACACGUGAGUAACCUGCCCUUGACUUCGGGAUAACUUCAGGAAACUGGGGCUAAUACCGGAUAGGAAUCCUUGCUGCAUGGUGGGGGUUGGAAAGCUUCGGCGGUUUUGGAUGGACUCGCGGCUUAUCAGCUUGUUGGUGGGGUAGUGGCUUACCAAGGCUUUGACGGGUAGCCGGCCUGAGAGGGCGACCGGCCAAUUUGGGCCUGGGUUAGGCCCAGGCCCCCACGGGGGGGAAGAGGGGGGAAUAUUGCACAAUGGGCGGAAGCCUGAUGCAGCAACGCCGCGUGCGGGAUGACGGCCUUCGGGUUGUAAACCGCUUUCAGCAGGGGCGAAGCUUGUGGUGACGGUACCUGCAGAAGAAGCACCGGCUAACUACGUG
rnacentral:rRNA from 1 species